AUAUAGUCUGUGGUGGAGACAGAAAGCCCGCUAAAACUAAAACGUAAAAUCACACUCCUAAUAAUCCUAAUUGUAAAUGUUGUUUAAAAUAUUGAAAUUCUACGUUAAAUACAUGUUGCUUAAUAAUUGCGUUGUUUAACUAAGCAUCGGCAUGUACGUGGUACGUCGACAAACCUGUUUAAUCGUAAUCAAAUUAAACGGAUUGUGAUUUAAAGUAGAUGUCUAUGGGCUCAAGUAACCACUUAACGCCAGGUCGGCUGUGACCUCGUCCACCAAUCUAAGCAAUAAAAAAAAAAGCGUGGCGUCAAAUUUGGCUUCAAAGUCGUGGACUGAAAUUUUCAGAACCCUGAUAGGAGGUAAGUCAAAAGUAUAUUGAUGACGUAUUCGCGGCUUAACGCAUAAGAAGCCCGGUGCAUUCAUAUCGAGCGAAACGACUGAACUGGUGUUCGAUUCUGGCUUGACCCUUCACUUGAUUUCACCCUGACUGGUGAGCACGCUCACGAGGCCCACUCUGAAAGAGUUUGCAUAUUGCUAAUAAUUAUAUCUGCCAUAGCAAGAGCAAUGGUUCGUUUGAAUCUAGUACCGUAUCGUAAAUGCGACCCACUGAGAAGAUGUGGCGAGAAACUCCGUGGGUUCUCUACUCUAGGUGAGCCGUGAGCUCAAACAUCCUGCUGUACAAUAAAAAAUUAAAGAAA